AAUGAACGUUGGCGGCAUGGAUUAGGCAUGCAAGUCGAGCGAGAAGUGUAGCAAUACACGGAAAGCGGCGGAAGGGAGAGUAAUACGUGGGAAUCUGCCCUUUGACCUGGGAUAGCAGCGGGAAACUGCUGGUAAUACCAGAUAAUGUCUAUGGACCAAAGGUGUGAUUCCGUCUAGGGAUGAGCCCACGUCCUAUUAGCUAGUUGGUAGGGUAAUGGCCUACCAAGGCGAUGAUGGGUAGCGGGUGUGAGAGCAUGACCCGCCUCACUGGGACUGAGACACUGCCCAGACACCUACGGGUGGCUGCAGGCGAGAAUCUUCGGCAAUGGGCGCAAGCCUGACCGAGCGAUGCCGCGUGCGGGAUGAAGGCCUUCGGGUUGUAAACCGCUGUCGAGGGGGAGCAACUUCCAUAGAGUUAUCUUUAUGGAUUGAGUGAUCCCUGGAGGAAGGACGGGCUAAGUUCGUGCCAGCCGCCGCAGUAAUAC
rnacentral:rRNA from 1 species